CAAGGUUGCAGUGUAUUCAAGAGGGUUUGCCUUUGGCAUCGUGACGGCCAGAGUCCUUUGGAGCCUGAUUGUGCACUAAAGAACAUGUCGGGAAACCACAAGACAUAGUUUCGCUGUGUGGCGAUAAUCUGCAGGGAGCCUGGAUAGCUGUAAUGCUUCAUUGCUGCUUCCUCCGUGUCUGGCUUUGCAUUAACUCUUCAAUUUGCUUGCUUUGGCUUCCCUGACUGUUAAAUGCAUACACACAGGGUCACUUCGACAUAGGAGAAAAUCGGCUGCCACAGUCGGCUGCUCCUCAGCCUCCAAGCACCGGUGCUGGAGAACUAUGGAGAGAAAGACAGCAUGAGCAAUGGGUGCUGCUGUAGAUGAUCUGCGUCUGAGCUGUCCCACCAAAAUCACACAUACUGGCCUUCAUCAUUUUUGUUACAAAAUACAAUUAAUGCAGCAGCAAGUCCCCUAUGGACCAGAUUCUCAGAAGCAUGAUGCUACCCAAAAGCUGACUCACCCACUGUACCUCUAACCUUCCUCCUGCCUAAAAAGUCUUUCCAUCAUGCCACCUCAUCACAGCAGCUCCUACCCACUGCCUGCUGUGAUUUUUCCCAUUCCCUCCCCCAAGGCAGGAUGCGGGCAGCAGCCCAGUGAAGACCCUGAGAUUUCUGGUGCUGCCAUAGCUGAGCCAUGGGGCUGCUGCACUGGGCAACUGGAGCAGUCUGGUGCAGGCAGUUUCAGCCCAUCCCCAGCUCUGGCCUCUCUGCCUCAAGCUGGUGUUCACUGCAGCCAUGGCAAGCGAGUAGCAAAAGUUGUCUACAAGCUUGCAGAUCUGAUUCCCUCUUUAGGAGAAAGACCAGAAAAAAAGCAAGUCUUGAAUAUCACGAUAGCUUGUUUUUUAAUGUUUCAGUCACUAACUUGCCAUGUUAGGUUCUAAAACUAGACCGUGACCCUGCAGUGGCCACAUCAUUAUUACCACACCCAAGAUAAUGGAGACAUCACCCAGAUCUCAGCUGGGUCCUGUCCUGUCAUCCAAGCAACAGCUGUCCUGAAUUAAACUCAUAAACAGUCACUCUGGUAAGGCAGAAUAUUGUUCAGACCAGGAAAUGUGUAAGGAAAAUAUUGCUGUAUAGAUCCAUUUUUGAAAAGUUAGUAUUUCUGAAUGAAAAGAGUUUAAUACACUUUAAUAACACCAACCAAAUAUGUUGGAAUAUAUUUGGAUAUAGUUAUUAGCACUCAGGUAGACUAAUGUAACUGUCCAGGAGAUACUCUUCAAAAUGAGCCUGGCAAUACAGAGCAUUUGCUUUCUAUACUCUUCUGCAUUCUGCCAUCACAUAUCUAUGCUGCAAUUUGCCAUGUAUAAUAUUCACAUUAUUGCCUUAACUACCAUGUGCUUUAAGAGUGGCAUGUGACAGGAACUUUGAGGGAAGAGGAGAGGGAAGGGAUUCCAGCUGCUCAUGUAUCAUGCUUGCUCCCACCUGACAGCUUCUCCAGACAGGGUUGUACAUCCCCUCAUCAGUUGGAGCGAGAGGCAGGGCAUGCAGCUGGCUUUGUUGUUUCCCAAAUGCUAUUGCAGAGUGCACCAUGGGGCAGAUCAGGAUCAUGGGGUAUGUUUUGAAACAAAAUGGCUCUUGGCUGUGCAAAAUAGAAGUAACCAUUAGUAACAAAAGUGUGGGUAUGCUGCAGCAUACAUAAGCUCAUUUACUUAAGCAAAACCAUGCAGAUGCACCUGAGGUUACCUUUUGAACUCUCUGAAAUACAUAGCAGAAACUAACUGUGCAGUAUGCUGAUCUAAUUGUGCAUACAUAAGGGAAAAUGCUUUGCUACAUGCUUAAAUAAGCUCUGUAGAUAAAUUGGAUGCUAUCAAAUGAAUAAGUUUAUACAAUCAAAAAGCACAGGAGAUUUUGGCUAUCCUUUUACUCCAUAAGAUAGUUUUAUACAGCAAUAAGCAGAAGACCCAACUAUACAGUGCCAAGGGUAUCUCACAGGUAACAUCCAGAACCCUGGGAAAACAGGAUGUAUGAGAGGCAUUAAAGAAUACUGUAAGGUUGCUGUUAAAGAUAGAGAAAUAGCAAAAUUGCUGUUCAAGUCUUAUUUAAAUUAUACUCCCCACUGUUUUCCAUUAUGUUUGAAACCUGGUAAUAGUUCAGCAGCCUGUCAAAAAAAAAAAAAAAAAUUACUUUUCUGUAAGUGGGAGGGCUGACAAAAUUACAGCAGCUGGGUAUCUAUUCCUCUGAACUUCACUGUGCAGAGCUACUGUGGAUCUUCCUGCAGAAAGCUAAUCAAGGUGGAAGAGAAAAAUUGGUUUCAUUAACAGUCUCUGUCACUGAAGAGUCAAAUAAUUUUUCACUCUUCAGUUGCGUUCAAUUACCGAGAUAUUACUAGAAGUAGUUCUUCUGUGACAGAGAGCUUUAACGGUGUUUUUUCUUUUUUAGCACUUUGCUUAUUGUGCACUCCUGUUGCACCCAUUGGUGGGUGCAGAUUAACACCUGUUACUGUUUUUACAGAAAAUGAUGAAUGGUGCCAUUACUGGCACAGCUUUAUGUGAGCAAAAUUAAGCUCGUGCAUUUUAACUUUUGUAGUUACAGUAAUUACCACAAUUACUUUCAAAUUAUAGUUUGCACGGACCGUGCAUCAAAGCUGAAAAACUGUGAACAACCAUCUACCCACAGUUCUUGGAGAGGGCUGUAGGAAAAAUGCAAACUGCGGGCUUGCUCCAUGCCUUCCUUGAGUCAAGAGAAAGCUAUAAGGCACCCGACUUUUUUGCCCUCAGCUAGCCAUUUUCAUAACACUCCUCUCUAAGACAUGUAUAAGGAACUCACAUUUCAAUUUAUAGCUAUAUUUGAUUCAAAUAUGAAAUGUGUAGUUCCAAAGCUUGACUCAAAUCACAAGUGCUUAUCUGGAUUUUUGAAACCUGACCCAUGUGACUGAAAUAACGGGCAUAGUUGUACUUUGGAGUUAACUGCACACAUCAGUUGUACCAGCCAUUAUAGUUCAUCUACCAACCAUUAUAGUUCAUCUCACCUGGUGUUGACUGUUGAAUGUCUGAGCAAUCUAAGCCGCUCAUCGUGGUUUCCUUGGCAGUUAUUGGGGAUCACUCCACCAAAGACAAACGAGUGGUAUUAAUGAGAACAGUUGCCCUCCAGUAGUGUCUAUUUCUUUCUUUUGACUAUAGAGGGAGCCAAGAAAACUGGCUUGGACCAGAAGCCCAGCUUUUACUUAGACAUCUAGCUGAGCUGAAGGAAAACUGCCAAUACCAGGCUGAAUUUCCUACAGUGAGAUGUACAGAAAUCAUAGCCCGUACUUUCUGAAAGAUUUAUAGAUAAACACACAUGAAUAUACACUGUAAUUUCUGUAUGGACAAAAUGGACUGGGACCUGUGGAAUUAAUUUUAUCAUCCUUUGUAGCAGAAAGCUGAGCUGUUUAACAAAGGAAAAAGAGGGGAAUAAAAACAAACUGCCUUCAGUCUUUCUGCUGGGACUGAAGAUGGCCCACUGAGGUCAAAAGAAGGCUUUCCACCUAUUCCCAUGUGCACUGAAUCCAGUCUCUGCUCUGUUGCUCCGUUACUGGGGUAUGCUGAUGUGCUACAGCAGCCGCCCACAUAACACAGUAGCCCACCCAUAUGCCAUAUGCAUUACAUAGGUUUUGAGCUGACUAUUUCUAACUGCUCUAUUUUCAUCUCUGAAUGAGAAUGGUACGUUUCAGAGACCCAAGCUUAAACAUAUGGAAAAAUGGAAUUACAAGCGGAAGAUGCCGCUGCCUUGAAAGUCUGCUGCUGUGCUGCCCGUUGGAGACUUGCCUUGGGCAUGAGGACCACAGCCACAAAAACAGCUUGGCGCUGGGAGCCCCACUUUGCUGUGGCAUAAGCUGGGUUCCUGCUGACCUCACAUCUGUCUUUGCGUGGGUUUUGCUGAGGCUGAGAUGUUAAAGUGGAAGUAAAUGCUGUACAUAAGAGAAACAUGUCAGUCAUAAAGGAGAGUGCACGGCAACCAUGCUUCAUCUGGCACAGUAUUUCAUAGGGUUAAGGGGGGUGAUGAGAUUGUAGGGCUAUGCGGGUCAGUUUAGUCUCACCCAAGGGAUCUCAGGUUUGGUUCAGUUUGGUGAAGAGGACUGCUAAGGCUUUAUACACCUGGGUUGGCUUGGGAAGUGGUUGACAGAACAAACUAUUGCUAUUACAGCCUAUACGUCCAGGAUGGAAGUGCUAAGACAACCAAAGGAGGAGGGUAGAACUGUGGACCACUGCUCCCCUGUCAACAACAACCUUGCUGCAGUGUGGUCUCUUCUAUACAUUAGCAGUCAUCACUGGUUUCUCAUGGAAUAAUGUUUUGGCCAGGUAAAUGUAAGGUUUGGGUUUGGCCUCCAGUCAGAUGGUACCCAAAAAUAAGUAUCACAUGACACCCGUCUCUUAUUAAAAAGCCAAGCAGAAGAAAGCACAGAUGCAAAGUAGUUUGGGCACCAUAAACAAACCACCACCAGAAAAGCCAGGUAUGUAUGAGAUCAUCUUUUUAGAGAACAUUUUUUCUCAGGCAUAAUGAGGUGGGAAGAGAGACAUUGGUAGAAGAUUUUCCCUUACUGCAAUGCCUCUUUUAUUAUUUUCAUUAAAUUUCUUUUCACUCCUGCUAAUACACAGAACAAUAAAAUAAAGCAACUUGAAAGUUCACGGUAUGCAAGAUUCAUCUUGCAUCCACAGAAUUUGUGUAACCCAUAUUAAACUGAUGUUUGCUUGUUUAAGAAUGCACACCUGCACAUUACCACUUGUGGUAAAUAAGUUUAUUAGCCAAGGAAUGUCUGCAUACUUUCUGGAAAUCCCAUGUAAAUGCAGUUAUGUUUUCUGUUAAGAUCCCCCUUUGGUUAAAAAAAAAAUAAAAAAAGAAAAAAAUCUAUCCCACUGCCAUACUCCAGAAGGUAGGAAAACAAGCAGUGAAUGAUGUACAAACAUGCAGGAAAGAUGCAGGUGAAGAGAUUCACAGAGAUUAAAAACGUCAUAGUCCUGAUGAUUCAGUGUGUCUUUCCAUGUAGAAUUUAACCAUUCUGUUUCAUAUUAUAUUUAUGUCAGAUCAAAUGCUCCAGUCAGAGACUGAGACUUUAUUAGUGCCUCAUUUGUAUUUGUUUUUACUUUGAACUAAAACCUAAAGGUGGUGACAGAAGAAAUUCAUAUGCUUAGCAUCUGAUUAAUAAUUGAGAGCCACUCAGCUUUACUAAUCAUCCAUUUGAAGAGAAUUUCCUUAUAUGAAGAGAUUGUUCCACUUAGGACAAUUUUUUUUUACUUUUUUUUUUUUUUUUUUUAAGAGCAGAAGGGUGGAAAGAAGGUGAGGGGAGGCCAAGGAGCAAAGGGAGAAGGAGCAAAGUGGGAAGCUUUGAUCGUUUCACCGAGGGGCUGAGGCAGUUCAAAAUGAAAGAAUCUCUCACCACCUUUAAAAAAAAAAAUCGAAAAGAAAAGAAAAAAGAGGUAGUGGUGGGGAACAGAGAGAGCAGUGUGACAGGAGACAGAACAUGAAGCAGGAGCCAAAGCCUCACAGUAAGGGCUGUUGUUAGGCUCCAAAGGAGAAGCUCUUUGCAAGGCAGCAAGGAAACAGAAGAGAAGUAGCACCUUGGUUUCCUUAAUAGAUUCCCUAAAACCAACAAAAUGCCAAGAGAAGUGAAGAAAUCACAGGAAGAAAAAUGCAUUGAGGUGACUUUUCAUUUUGCCUUUUUCAUUACAUCUGCUGUGCUAUCUAGGUUAUAAAAUAAUUGUGCCACAAUGAGACUGAACAGCCUGGAGCUAUGGAGAAGCCUGUGUCAAAGCUGCUGGGCAAUCUGCAAGAGGAGCAGCAGGUCUGAGAAUUUCCAUUUCCACAAUGGCCAUGGCCUGCGUGUAUGCUGGGGUUUGGAGAAGCUGGAGCCCACCUGGGUCAGGUGAACUUGAGAUAAAAGGCAUCUGUCAGCAGCUGGUUCACAAUUCAUGCGGGGCCUGCUAAAGCUGUGUCUGUUUUAAAAUAAGCAGAAAGAUAAUGAAUAUAGUAUAUGGUUGUAAUUUUGUCAUAGACAAUUUGAUUGGCACUUUUCUGCAGCCCAAUGAAAUGAGUAGGACUUUCUGCUGACCAAUGUGCUAUUACACUUGAGGCAGGAUAGUCCUCGAAUCUCCUACCCUUAUACAGCCUAAUUUUCUCUGUUUAAACCUUUUAAGCUACAAUGCCUACAACACCUGUCAGUAAGCAUCCUUUUGGCAGGCCAACAGAGGUGGAUAUACAAAAAGGCAAAUCUGUGCCUGGAUUGUUGACAGGGAUCCUAAUGGAGUAUGAGUGUACAGCCCAAGCACUUUAAUAUGCAGACAUUGUUCCUGGCAGUAUGUAUUUAAACACGAACAAUCUGUGAUUUGCCAAAGAAAAUUAAAAU